GAUGAACGCUGGCGGCGUGCCUAAUACAUGCAAGUCGAGCGAACAGAUAAGGAGCUUGCUCCUUUGACGUUAGCGGCGGACGGGUGAGUAACACGUGGGUAACCUACCUAUAAGACUGGAAUAACUCCGGGAAACCGGGGCUAAUGCCGGAUAACAUUUAGAACCGCAUGGUUCUAAAGUGAAAGAUGGUUUUGCUAUCACUUAUAGAUGGACCCGCGCCGUAUUAGCUAGUUGGUAAGGUAACGGCUUACCAAGGCAACGAUACGUAGCCGACCUGAGAGGGUGAUCGGCCACACUGGAACUGAGACACGGUCCAGACUCCUACGGGAGGCAGCAGUAGGGAAUCUUCCGCAAUGGGCGAAAGCCUGACGGAGCAACGCCGCGUGAGUGAUGAAGGUCUUCGGAUCGUAAAACUCUGUUAUUAGGGAAGAACAAAUGUGUAAGUAACUGUGCACGUCUCGACGGUACCUAAUCAGAAAGCCACGGCUAACUACGUG
rnacentral:rRNA from 1 species